rnacentral:ncRNA from 1 species
GAUAAGUGUGGGGCUGUGAAGGUUAUUCUGUAUGUGGGCGCUUGGAAUAACUGAAGCUAGUAGCGCAACCGACCGCUUUCUUU